AGAAAACAAUUCGAGUCGGGAUUGGCAGAAGAAAGGGAGGAGGCGGGGACAAACUGAAGGAUCCCGAAGUGUGGCUGGCAAGCGGUGCUUUCUGCAUCCCCUGGGGACUCCGUGGCGUGUGGCAUCUGCCGAGCGGAGGGGUGGAGUUUUCAUAGGAG
rnacentral:lncRNA from 14 species